GGCUUCAUAGCUCAGUUGGUUAGAGCAUCGCACCAUAGUCGCGGGGUCACAGCUUCAAAGCCUGCUGAAGUCC
rnacentral:tRNA from 1 species